rnacentral:rRNA from 1 species
GCCUACGGGGCGCAGCAGUGAGGAAUAUUGGUCAAUGGUCGAGAGACUGAACCAGCCAAGCCACGUGAAGGAGGAAGGUACAGAGUAUCGUAAACCUCUUUUGUCAGGGAACAAAGGCGGGGACGUGUCCCCGGAUGAGUGUACCUGAAGAAAAAGCAUCGGCUAACUCCGUGCCAGCAGCCGCGGUAAUACGGAGGGUGCGAGCGUUAUCCGGAUUUAUUGGGUUUAAAGGGUGCGCAGGCGGUCUGUUAAGUCAGCGGUCAAAGCCCGGGGCUCAACCCCGGCCCGACGUUGAAACUGGCAGU